CAGGAGCAAGAAAAGGGGCGAUCCCCACUUCUCAAACCCUAAAUCCUGCUUAAACUCUCAAUUGAAGGAGCAAAUCUGGUCCAAACGAAAAUCCAAGCUUAGAAUCGUGAUCCUCAUCGCAAGAGGAUUAUAAGGAACGGGCGCAGGAGCGUCAAGCGGACAAGCGGGUGGCGAACCACGUCAAAAAGGGCUACUUUGAAGGUGACGUAAUGGAUCUUACGGAUGGCGGUCGAGCGAAUAAUGAAGAACCGAACACUACAUUUUGAAAGCUUCCGCAAUAUUUUAAAUCUUUAGUAGUCUUAUGUAUG